AUCCUGGCUCAGAUUGAACGCUGGCGGCAUGCUUUACACAUGCAAGUCGAACGGCAGCGGGGGCUUCGGCCUGCCGGCGAGUGGCGAACGGGUGAGUAAUGCAUCGGAACGUGCCCAUGUCGUGGGGGAUAACGUAGCGAAAGCUACGCUAAUACCGCAUACGUCCUGAGGGAGAAAGCGGGGGGAUCUUCGGACCUCGCGCGAUUGGAGCGGCCGAUGUCGGAUUAGCUAGUUGGUGGGGUAAAGGCCCACCAAGGCGACGAUCCGUAGCGGGUCUGAGAGGAUGAUCCGCCACACUGGGACUGAGACACGGCCCAGACUCCUACGGGAGGCAGCAGUGGGGAAUUUUGGACAAUGGGCGCAAGCCUGAUCCAGCCAUGCCGCGUGAGUGAAGAAGGCCUUCGGGUUGUAAAGCUCUUUCGGCCGGGAAGAAAUCGUGUUCUCUAACAUAGGACAUGGAUGACGGUACCGGACUAAGAAGCACCGGCUAACUACGUG
rnacentral:rRNA from 1 species